GCCGCGCGCUGCAACAAACUCCGUAUGGAGAUCCGUGGAAUCCGUUGCUCCCGCCCGGAUAACCCUCCAUGGUAGUAUAAAUGAUAAGCCCCCGUGACCCGCUUCUCCAUGCCCCAUCCUAGUAGAUAGUGUCGUUACCGAGGGCCACCAUUGCCGCAAGGGAGAAAAGGAAGCUGACGACCGCCGCUGUUGGCCCACAUCCUCGUCUCGGUGCUGACCUGGGGAGCUGUGGGCAAGCGAGGAUAUAGUCAGCGCCCAGGGAACUCGUACCAUGGGAAGUUGGGCCUCUGGUGAUCGCGGAUGGGUGGCAAUUUCUCGCCGAGGUUGAUCUCCGCCGCAAAACCAAACCUCGACGUGGUCAGAUCUUCUACCACACCAAUCUCCGGGACUCCGGCGGGUCAUGGCCACGUCAGUGAGCGGCGCCGUCGCGCGUCUGGUACAAGUGAAGAAGAUGGCGCUGCUCCGUCCGAUCCGAUCUAUGCGGUCUGGAGUGCUCGGACAUAGCGCUUCGAUUUUAUUAAAGCUUGGCCGUGCGAUCUUGAUCGGGUGGCCGAGGAUUGGAUUAAGCGUUGGCGUAACGUUGUUCGUCGAUCUCUGAUCUGGCGGUAGUGGGUUCGUACCGGUUAUAAAACGGAUGGUUUAAUCUUGGCGGUCCAAUACAGAUCGAACGGCUCUGGUUGCUUCUUA